UACGUAGGUGACAAGCGUUGUCCGGAUUUAUUGGGCGUAAAGAGCGUGUAGGCGGUUUGGUAGGUCCGUUGUGAAAACUCGAGGCUCAACCUCGAGACGCCGAUGGAAACCAUCAGACUAGAGUCCGGAAGAGGAGAGUGGAAUUCCUGGUGUAGCGGUGAAAUGCGCAGAUAUCAGGAAGAACACCCGUGGCUAAGGCGGCUCUCUAGUACGGUACUGACGCUGAGACGCGAAAGCGUGGGGAGCGAACAGG
rnacentral:rRNA from 1 species